AUAGUAAGAAGCCAACUCUUAGGUACCUCAAGAUUUGGAGAUGUCUGGCCCAUAUCAAGCGACAGCAUGCGGACAAGUUAGAUGCUAGAUUAUUUAGGACUCGCUUUAUAAGGUAUCCUAAGAAAACCAUGAGAUACUACUUCUAUCUUCCUGAGAAUCACAAUGUGAUUAUGAGCUGUCAUACCAUCUUUUUGAAAAAGAAGUUUACCAAGAUGGAGGCAGUGGUAGGAGGAUUGAGCUCCAAGAAA
rnacentral:lncRNA from 1 species